rnacentral:tRNA from 1 species
GGGUCUAUAGCUCAGUGGUGGAGCACAUGCUUAGCAUGCAUGAGCUCCUGGGUCAGUCCCCAGCACCUCCA